GCUUGCUUGUUGGGGUUGUAGGACUCCAAUAUGGUAGUCUGUUAGUAUAGUUGAAGGAUUUGGAAAAUUCCGCUAAAGAGGGUGAAAGCCCCGUAGACGAAAUGCUAACAACACCUAGGAGGAUCCUGAGUACGGCGGAACACGAGAAAUUCCGUCGGAAUCCGCGGGGACCAUCCCGCAAGGCUAAAUACUCCCUAGUGACCGAUAGUGAACCAGUACCGUGAGGGAAAGGUGAAAAGCACCCCGGAAGGGGAGUGAAAUAGAUCCUGAAACCGUGUGCCUACAACAAGUCAAAGCUCGUUAAUGAGUGAUGGCGUGCCUUUUGUAGAAUGAACCGGCGAGUUACGAUUGCAUGCGAGGUUAAGUCGAAGAGACGGAGCCGCAGCGAAAGCGAGUCUGAAUAGGGCGAAUGAGUAUGUAGUCGUAGACCCGAAACCAUGUGAUCUACCCAUGUCCAGGUUGAAGGUGCGGUAAAACGCACUGGAGGACCGAACCCACGUACGUUGAAAAGUGCGGGGAUGAGGUGUGGGUAGCGGAGAAAUUCCAAACGAACUUGGAGAUAGCUGGUUCUCUCCGAAAUAGCUUUAGGGCUAGCCUCGGAAUUGAGAAUGAUGGAGGUAGAGCACUGUUUGGACUAGGGGCCCAUCUCGGGUUACCGAAUUCAGAUAAACUCCGAAUGCCAUUCAUUUAUAUCCGGGAGUCAGACUGCGAGUGAUAAGAUCCGUAGUCGAAAGGGAAACAGCCCAGACCACCAGCUAAGGUCCCAAAAUAUAUGUUAAGUGGAAAAGGAUGUGGGGUUGCACAGACAACUAGGAUGUUGGCUUAGAAGCAGCCACCAUUUAAAGAGUGCGUAAUAGCUCACUAGUCGAGUGACCCUGCGCCGAAAAUGUACCGGGGCUAAACAUAUUACCGAAGCUGUGGACUACACCAUUAGGUGUAGUGGUAGGAGAGCGUUCUAAGGGCGUUGAAGGUCGAUCGUGAGGACGGCUGGAGCGCUUAGAAGUGAGAAUGCCGGUAUGAGUAGCGAAAGACAGGUGAGAAUCCUGUCCACCGUAUGACUAAGGUUUCCUGGGGAAGGCUCGUCCGCCCAGGGUUAGUCGGGACCUAAGCCGAGGCCGAUAGGCGUAGGCGAUGGACAACAGGUUGAUAUUCCUGUACCAGUUGUUUUUGUUUGAGCAAUGGAGGGACG
rnacentral:rRNA from 1 species